GAUGAACGCUGGCGGCGUGCUUAACACAUGCAAGUCGAACGGGAAACCUUUUAAUGAAGCUUCGGCAGAUUUAACUGGUUUCUAGUGGCGGACGGGUGAGUAACGCGUGGGUAACCUGCCUUAUACAGGGGGAUAACAGUCAGAAAUGACUGCUAAUACCGCAUAAGCGCACAGGACCGCAUGGUCCGGUGUGAAAAACUCCGGUGGUAUAAGAUGGACCCGCGUUGGAUUAGCUUGUUGGUGGGGUAACGGCUCACCAAGGCGACGAUCCAUAGCCGGCCUGAGAGGGUGAACGGCCACAUUGGGACUGAGACACGGCCCAGACUCCUACGGGAGGCAGCAGUGGGGAAUAUUGCACAAUGGGGGAAACCCUGAUGCAGCGACGCCGCGUGAAGGAAGAAGUAUCUCGGUAUGUAAACUUCUAUCAGCAGGGAAGAUAGUGACGGUACCUGACUAAGAAGCCCCGGCUAACUACGUG
rnacentral:rRNA from 1 species